AAAAACUAAGUGUUUAGCAUAUUUUGUUUUGGUCAAAGUGGGGGUUAGAUUAACCAGUUUUUA
rnacentral:tRNA from 1 species